rnacentral:lncRNA from 1 species
CCAAAGUGCUGGGAUUACAGGCGUGAGCCACCACACCCAGCUUUUUUUUUUUUUUUGCUUUUUUAGAGACAGGGUGUCACUGUGUCACCUAGGCUGGAGUGCAGUAGUUCGAUCAUAGCUCACUGCAGCCUCCAACUCCUGGGUUCAAGUGAUCCUCCUGCCUCAGCUUCCUGAGUAGCUAGGACUACAGGUGUGCGCCACCAUGCCCAGCCUCAGACUCAACCCUGCUCCCAGCCACAGCCGGGCCUAAACGUCAUCCUCUCUGGAGGCUUCUCUGCAAGGAACCCUGGUUCAGUGCAGUGCACCCUUCUGCGUCCUCAUGACAGCUUGCUCUUCCUCUUCCCUGGAAUGGACAGUCAUAACCCAUCGGCUGGAAACUUGUGCUGAGUGGACAACACCCAAGCAACAGGGGAGUGGUCCUGGCUUGAAUCAGUCAUCAAAUGCACCUGCAGGAAAUAACCUCGUUCUUUCCUUCAUUCAGCCAAUUUGUUGUUGUUGUUGCUGUUUUUGAAACAGAGUCCUGCUCUGUAACCCCGGCUGGAGUGCAGUGGCACCAUCUCAGCUCACUGCAACCUCUACCUCCUGGGUUCAGACGAUUCUUGUGCCUCAGCUUCCUGAGUAGCUGGGACUACAGGCGUGCGCCGCCAUGCCUAGCUAAUUUUUGUAUUUUUUAUAGAGACAAGGUUUUGCCAUGUUGGUCAGGCUGGUCUUGAACUCCUGACCUCAAGGGAUCCUCCCACCUUGGCCUCCCAAAGCACUGGGUUUCCAUUGCAAGUUAACGUAUAAACCUAUUUUUAUAAAAAUAAUAACUAUUUGGCAGGGCGUGGUGGCUCACUCCUGUAAUCCCAGCACUAUGGGAGACCAAGGCGGGUGGAUCACUUGAGCUCAGGAGUUCAAGACCAGCCUGGGCAAUACGGUGAAACCCCGUCUCUACUAAAAUACAAAAAAUUAGUCAGGCAUGGUGGCGAGCGCCUGUAGUCCCAGCUACUCGGGAGGUUGAGGCAGGAGAAUCACUUGAACCUGGGAGGAGGUUGCAGUGAGCUGAGAUUGCACCACUGCACUCCAGCCUGGGCAACAGAGCAAGACUCCAUCUCAAAAAAAAAAAAAAAAGCCAGUGGCAGUGGCUCCUCAUACCUGUAAUCUCAGCACUUUGGAAGGCCAAGGCAAGUGGAUCACCUGAGGUCAGGAGUUCGAGACCAGCCUGACCAACAUGGUGAAACCCCGUCUCUACUAAAAAUACAAAAAUUUCCAGGCCUGGUAUCGGGCACCUGUAAUCCCAGCUACUCAGGAGGCUGAAACAGGAAAAUCACUUGAACCCGGGAGCUGGAGGUUGCAGUGAGCCAAGAUCGCCCCCAUUGCAUUCCAGCCUGGGCAACGAGAGUGAAACUCGAUCUCAAAAAAAAAAAAAACUAUUUUCCAAAAAAAUUCAGUGCAUUGAGUGGCAUUGUUUGUGUCAUUUUGAAAAUCUUUUUUUUUUUUUUUUUUGACAGAGUUCCACUCUGUCACUCUGUGGCCAGGCUGGUCUCAAACUCCUGACCUCAAGUGAUCCGCUGGCUUUGGCCUCCCAAAGUGCUGGGAUUACAGGUGUGAGCCACCGCGCCCGGCCGCACAUCUCUUUAAUGUCUGGCUGGAUCCUUGCAUCUGUGUCUGUCUUCAGUGCAGCCAUUCAUUACAUGUCAGGCAACUUCUGGAAACUUCUACUGUCCACUUAUGAGUGAAUGAGAACGAAAAAGGCAGUUAACAUCUCAGGAGGGUAGUAUACAAAUACUUUUGACCUCAUGGACCCCUUGAAAGGGUCUCAGGGACUCCUAAGCGACUCUGAACCAUACUUUGAGAACCACUGACAUGUAGUUUCAGUUUUGAAAUCAAUAAAGUGUCAAAAAGGAAAAAGUUUUAGGGCAAGUUUGGUGAUAAAACUGACCUAAACAGACUGAUACUCUUUUUUUUUUUUUUUUUUUUUUUUUUUUUUUUUUUUUUUGAGGCAGACUCUCGCUCUGUUACCAGGCUGGAGUGCAGUGGCGCGGCGAUCUCGGCUCACUGCAAUCUCUGCCUCCUGGGUUCAAGCG